GCCGGGCAUGGUGGCGCAUGCCUGUAAUUUCAGCUACUCCGGAGGCUGAGAUGGAAGAAUUGCUUGAACCCGGGAGGCGGAGAUUGCAGUGAGCUGAGAUCAUGCCACUGCAUCCCAGCCUGGGCAACAGAGCAAGACUCUGUCUCAA
rnacentral:sRNA from 1 species